rnacentral:lncRNA from 1 species
GCAUGGGAAAAAAAAUGCCACCUUCUAAGUGGUAUUUGUUUUUUUCUCUUUCUCAUUAAAAUAGAUAUGAGAUCCACCAUUUAUUUUAUCAUCUCUCUUAUCCUUUUUUUUGUACCAAAUAUGGUAAUUUGAUAUAAGAUUUAUAUACUAGAUUAUCUCCAACCAAACAAGCCCUUGGAUCCUUUCUAUAGAGAUACAAGCCCAUAGAUUACCUUUAUCUCGUGCCUGCAAAGAAUGUAC